CGAGGUUUUUUGGUACAAUUCAAAAUUUAAUUUAAUUAAUUAAUAUUUUUAUUUUAAAAAAAUAACAUUUAAUAAAUUUAAGAUUAAAAUUUUCUUAAAAUUAGUCAUUGUUUACCAAGCCGAGGUUUUUUGGUACAAUUUAAAAUUUAAUUUAAUUAAUUAAUAUUGUUAUUUUAAAAAAAUAACAUUUAAUAAAUUUAAGAUUAAAAUUUUAAUAUAUAAAUUUUUUUUUUCGAAUCACAGCAUAAAUUUUCACUACCAGACUUGAAAACAAUUGUUUCAGUUAAUUAUCUUUUUAUUUGUAAAAUGCCAAUGAUCAAAUUUUGAAUUUUUAGAAAUGAAAGAUGAAAUUUACUAGACAAAAGAUGAUUAUUCAAUUUUAAAAGAAAAAAAUUUGUAAUAGUACAAAAGGAGUGAAAUGAAAAGAUAAUUAUUAAUUACAUAGGGUUUGCAGUUUGCACUAAUGGUAUUGUGUUAAGCCACUUAAUCAAGCAGUUUCAUGUGCAGUUGACCCACCCAGUUGUGAAUUAUACAUUGAUGUUUGCUUCUUGGAUGGACAAUAACUCCCAAAAUCCCUUUGUAACCAAUCAUUAGGGUUUUGCAUAUAUAGAACAUUGUUGUUUUUUUAUGAACAAGGCAAUUUGCAUGUCGGAGUGAAGCAAGCAACCUGCCAGCAUGAACCGACCAACACCAAAAUUUUAUAAAAGAAAUGAAAGAAAAACCAAGAAAAACAUUUUUUUUCAUUUAAACCCAAUAAAUUCCCCUUAUUAGACCCUGGAGGCUAGAGCACUUCUCUCCAUUAAUUCCAGUGGACCUUCAAGCCUUCAUAAACUUACAUCAAAUUUGAAGUUGGCCUAUAAUUUCCAGCAUCAUAUCCCCUGGAGAACCGAAGUAGAACAAGUUGCUGGAGUUCCCAAACAAAGAGCUUCAAGCAUACAGCUCUUUGACAACUUGAAGAUAAGUAACUGAUCUUUAUCUUUCAGGCAUGACAUACAGAAUCUUGGACGGUGGAUUCCGGGAAACAUUGCAAAUCUGAUGACUCUGUCAAGUUUCAGGACAGGCAUUUUUCACGGAUGCUGGGAUUGGCUGACAUCAAUUACAAGCCGAAUUCUAUGACCAAAAAUCACUUGAUCGUACUCUCCCUUUGCCCCGAAAUGUCUUUUGUAACACUUAUCUCUUUUCAAUCACGUUUUUCAAUUUCAGCCCUAAAUUUUUCUUGUCAACAGUUAAUUUUAGUGGCUCCAUUAUCCUUUUGUUUGCUAGCGUGACGGCAAGUGAUUUUUUCAUAUUAAUAAUUGACUUGUGAAGAAUGAUUAAAAUUCUGACGUAAAUAGACAUUUCUUGGAUUGUUGUUCAUUAAGGAAGAUUGGACUUUCUUUAGAAGAAUAAUUGACAACUGAGCUAAGCAAAUUUGAAGAUUAUCACUUAAAUCAAUAGCGA
rnacentral:lncRNA from 1 species